rnacentral:rRNA from 1 species
AUUGAACGCUGGCGGCAGGCCUAACACAUGCAAGUCGAACGGUAACAGGAAGCAGCUUGCUGCUUUGCUGACGAGUGGCGGACGGGUGAGUAAUGUCUGGGAAACUGCCUGAUGGAGGGGGUUAACUACUGGAAACGGUAGCUAAUACCGCAUAACGUCGCAAGACCAAAGAGGGGGACCUUAGGGCCUCUUGCCAUCGGAUGUGCCCAGAUGGGAUUAGCUAGUAGGUGGGGUAACGGCGCACCUAGGCGACGAUCCCUAGCUGGUCUGAGAGGAUGACCAGCCACACUGGAACUGAGACACGGUCCAGACUCCUACGGGAGGCAGCAGUGGGGAAUAUUGCACAAUGGGCGCAAGCCUGAUGCAGCCAUGCCGCGUGUAUGAAGAAGGCCUUCGGGUUGUAAAGUACUUUCAGCGGGGAGGAAGGGAGUAAAGUUAAUACCUUUGCUCAUUGACGUUACCCGCAGAAGAAGCACCGGCUAACUCCGUG